CCUGCCUUUAAGUCUCUUAACAUAAAUAACGAUAAUCCAUCCAGAAUCUUCUUCCUCCCUGAUAAUUUUUUUCUUCAUCUUCUUCGUGUUUAGCUUUGUAUUUUUAUUCUCAAAGAACCAUGUGUGCAGACCUACAUUUUACAGCCCUGAAGGUCAUUUUACUGAGAAGAACUAUAAGUGAGUGUUAACCACCAAAUUGUAUUGAAUGUCAUAUAGCAUUUGGCUAUUUCACUUCUCUCAUGCAAGGCAGGGGGAACAGCAUGAAGCCCUCUAUAAGACAGCUAUGCUUAUUAACAGUGUUUAAUUAGCUAGAUGAAUAUAGCUCAGCUGAGCUCAGAACACGGCCUACCUCACUGCCACACAAAUGGGAAACAAGCACGUGUUAUGGUUUGGGACAUGUUUUUUUCUUUGAUUUGUUGAGUUUUGGAGGCAAAAAGCCUCUAAAGAUGACAUCAGAAGUUAUCCAACAACUUAGAGCAGCAAUGAGAGGAUUAUGAGCCAGUGUAAUCCUUUGAAGUGGCUAGCACACAUCAUAGACACGAUGCUCAGAAGUGAUGUGGCUGCCUUGCAAGUGAUAUAAUCCUAACUACAAGGAAAUUUAAGACAGAAGGCAAAGAGGUAGUUGCUGGGAACAUCUUCAUUCUGCAAAGUGUGGCAUCCAAGUCAGAAGAGUGUACGUAUGAGCUCUAAUUGAUCUGCAUGCCUGUAUCUCACUGAUUUGAAUGAAAUAACACUUUUAGAAUCA